rnacentral:rRNA from 1 species
GACGAACGCUGGCGGCGUGCCUAAUACAUGCAAGUCGAACGCAGUGGGGACGGGUGAUUAACACGUGGGUGACCUCCCAUCAGAGGGGAUAACACUUGGAUACAGGUGCUAAACCGAUACUGGUUGAUGGACCCGCUGUGCAUUAGCUAGUUGGUGAGGUAACGGCUCACAAAGGCCACGAUGCAUAGCCGAUCUGAGAGGGUGAUCGGCCACACUGGGACGGAGACACGGCCCAGACUCCUACGGGAGGCAGCAGUAGGGAAUCUUCGGCAAUGGGCGAAAGUCUGACCGAGCAACGCCGCGUGAGUGAAGAAGGUUUUCGGAUCGUAAAGCUCUGUUGUUAGAGAAGCGGUAUCUAAACAGAAAGCCACGGCUAACUACGUGCCAGCAGCCGCGGUAAUUC